UAUCCUGUGGUGUAGUGGUUUGAGCAUUGGACUGUGAUUCCGGAAACUAGGGUUCGAUUCCCCACUUGGCCA